AAUCAACGCUGGCGGCGUGCCUAACACAUGCAAGUCGAACGCGAAAGCCCCGCAAGGGGUAAGUAGAGUGGCAAACGGGUGAGUAACACGUGGGUGACCUGCCUUCGAGUGGGGGAUAACGUCCCGAAAGGGACGCUAAUACCGCAUGACAUCCUGCUUUUGAAAAAGCGGAGAUCAAAGCUGGGGAUCGCAAGACCUAGCGCUUGAAGAGGGGCCCGCGCCUGAUUAGCUAGUUGGUGGGGUAACGGCUCACCAAGGCGACGAUCAGUAUCCGGCCUGAGAGGGCGGACGGACACACUGGGACUGAGACACGGCCCAGACUCCUACGGGAGGCAGCAGUGGGGAAUUGUUCGCAAUGGGCGCAAGCCUGACGACGCAACGCCGCGUGGAGGACGAAGAUCUUCGGGUCGUAAACUCCUGUCGAGCGGGACGAACGCUUCGCGGAUGAAUAAGCCGCGGAAUUGACGGUACCGCUAAAGGAAGCCCCGGCUAACUCCGUG
rnacentral:rRNA from 1 species